UUCCAUUAGAGUGCAAUCUCUUCGGUUUGCCCCUCCUUUUCAUCUUUCUGAGCUUUCGCUAGCCAAAAUCGUUUAAGCCGAAACGUCAGUGAUCCGGCCCGGACGGAGUACGUUGUUAAUUAUCCAAUCUACUUUUGAUCCGGGAAAGCUGGACGAAACCAGGUCAUUGCAGAGGGGCGGAAGGCGGAUCGUCACCGCUGGGAGUAAUCCUAGGCCACGCUGCUCCUUCUCAAAGAAGAAUCAUAUCACAAUGGUGUAUUCAACAAUCUCCCAGUACUGCGACAGGAAAUGCCGGAUUGAUUUUGUCUGCCUUUCCCCUGUUUCGGCAGGUGUGACCCUUCUCCCCAUUUUUCGUACGUGAUUUCAGCGAAACCAUCAACCUAUUUUUAGGUGAUUCGACAAGGCCGCGGACGGUAAAAAAUUCACAGGACAGCACAGUCACAGCUACGUUUGAACGAGAAGGCUUAAAAGCGACUAUCAACUCACGCCGAUCUGAACACGGCACCUCUAGGAAGCUUUCUUAAACCCAGCCUAAUUAGCAACUCGUAUCGCUUCAAAAACCAACAAGUUGAUACGAGGAAAGUAUGAUGUGGAGGCAUGCUCUGCGAGGACAGGGGUAUGAGAAUAUAAAAGUUAAGCUGACAAUA